GUAAGCAAGCUCUCAAUGAAAUGCUUUCUCUUAUAAGAGUUGCCUUGGCCUUGGUUCACAACAAUAGAACAGUGACUAAGACAGAAGUUGGUACCAGGAGUGGAGUGUUGUUGGACAGAUCUGACCACGUUGUUUGUUUGAGGAAUAUGGAAGACGUUGCGAUGUUAGAAUAUGAACGUAUUGACACUCUAAGUAGGGCUUACUGGGCCAUCCUAGUAGGAAGACAGUGUGACUGAAGGCAUCAGGAAUGGGAGAGGACAACUCAAGAGGUUUCAGAGGGGAAGAAUAUUAGUAAGUGGCAUAAACACCAUUUUAGCGAUAUCUUGGCUUUUGUCCUAAAAAUCUGCCUGAGGCCAAAUUAAACAGUUUUCGAUUAACGCAUCGGAGAGUUGAUUUCAAGGCAGCCUAGUGUGGACUCCGCUGCGUGGUGAUUAGUCAUCGCUCUUGCACAGGUCUAUAAUGAGAAGGAGCGAGCUGAGCAAGGACGAAUAGAAAACGUACAGUGUGAAGAGAGAAAGAGCAGCAGGAAAUGUAACGUAGAAGACAGAAGGCCCAGUACUCAAGGAGAUAAGAAGUUUAAAGAAGAGCCUAUUGCUAAAUGGAACAAAGGAAGCGGUGACCUCAGGCCUAGCCCUCACCCGGCUAAGCUUCUAAUUUGUGGAAAGGAGCUUUUCUCAAGUUUAAGCUGUGAAGGAAACUUCAACAACAGAUAGCUGAUGCAAAUGCACUAAAUGCUGCUGUCACAGACGUCGGACUAGGGUCUCUUCCAGCCCUUCAAUGCAGACUCAGUCAGUGACUCCCUGGGGGACGGACUUCCAGACCUUCAGCCUCUCACUGGAGCUGCACCUCUGGCCUCUCUUGUUCUGAGGCAUCCAGCUUCUUCAACGGAGCAGUUACUGUGUUCCCUGGCUCUCCAAUAGGCAGACAAGCCAUGAAGAAACCAAGCAGCCUCUCCCCAUGGAAACCAAUUUUUUCUUUUUUUUUUUUUGGUUCUUUUUUUCGGAGCUGGGGAUCGAACCCAGGGCCUUGCGCUUCCUAGGCAAGCGCUCUACCACUGAGCUAAAUCCCCAACCCCCAUGGAAACCAAUUUAAUAGAUCCCUUCUUGGUGUUUUUUUUUUUUUUUUUUUUUUUUUUUGAGACAAGUCCUCAUGCAGCCAAACAGAUCCCAAACUGCUGUGAGGAUGACCUUGAACUUCUUUCUCCUCCUCCUGCCUCUGUCUCCUAAGUGAUAGACGAUAGGUGUGUUUCACCACACACAUGCCUGACGUGCCACACACGCAUAGUGGUGUGUGCCUUACUGGUUCUGUCCUUCUAGAGAACCCUCACUGAUAGGCUGAGAAAACCAAACAUUUAUGUGAUAGGGUUGACAUGACCCACACUUUCAGAGCAUCUGCCUGGAUGAAGGGAGCCUCACUUAGCUGUUGAUCUUCAAGAAAUAACAUGAAACAAGGAGGAUCCAACAAUCCUAUUGGAGAAUCCUUCAUGUGCUCAGCCCCAAGGAUACGGAAACACCCAGGAAAUGAAUUCGUCAAGAGGAGAAAACCUGACAGACUAGAAAUGCAAAUGCUUUAGUGUGAAGCCGCUGGAGAGAGAGCUGUGAAGAUCAUUAUUCUCCCAGUGGUGGCUGUGGUCACGUAAGCCUUAUUGACUGAAACGGGCCCUUCCAUAGCCGGUUCAUUUCUACCAGUCGCUUAUCCACAAAUGGAGCUCUCCUGCCCAGUUACCAUGGAGUCCGUGAUGAAAUGUCAACACCUCCUGCUUUGCUUCCAUUACUAAAAGUUGUUUUACAAGUUUGUGAAAAGCCCUGCCUCUGGUAGGGUGAAGCAUUCUUUUGCAGUCUUUGAGAAUGUAGGGUCAGGAUAGAACAGGGUUUCAUUUCAUUUGGGGGUUUUGUUUGUUUUUUGAGACAGGGUUUCUCACUUGUCCCGGAGCUCACUCUGUAGACCGGGCUGCCCUCGAACUCACAGAGAUCCUCCUGCUUCUGCCUCCUGAGGGCUAGGAUUAAAGGAGUAUGCCACCAUCUGGCUUUCAUUUUAUUUCUUACAAUGUUUUUAGUCAGAAUUUUGGUCUAAUAACCAAUACUUGUUUUGCCUUUCUUUCUGUUUAGGGAAAUUCUUAGUAUUUUCUCUACUGCUUAGUAAAAAAGUUGUAUUGACUUUUAUCAAUACAAAGGGGGUGUGGGGGGGAGAAGUAUACAGCUCCAUGGUAGAGCACUUGCCCAACACACGUGAGACCCUAAUUUCCUAGCACUGAGGUGGGGAGGGGAAAAGGAAGGAAGAAAAGAACAGAUAUUUGGCUAAAUUUUCUAAAAUUAAUUUCUCCACCUUUUUCAAAUUGAUAAUUAUAUUAGUCCACAUUCCAUUGCUAUGUCAAAAUGCUUGGAUCUGGGUACUUUGUAAAGAAAAGAAGGUUGUUUUGUUAACAAUUCUGGAGGUGGAAAUCCAAGCUUGAGUGACUUCCUUGGUUCGGCACUUGGAGGAGGACCAGGUGGCUAUUUUCAGGUUUAUCUCAUUGUGAGAAAGAUGUCCAGCUUUUUCUAAGCGUGGCUUUUAGGGGACAGGUCCACUCAUUUGUCAGGGAAAGGAAUGGCUGAGUCACAGAGUGUACUCGUGUCUUUAGUUUCGGUCAGAUUCAGAAGGUGCAAAAGAGGACACAGUCCAAAGCCUUGUUGCCUUUUACGGUCCGUGCUGGAGUUCUCCAGGAACAACAGUGUUAUGUCUCCUCUGUGCUGUGACAGAAACAGCUCUGUGUGUAGGAAGUGCAGCCUGUGUGUUUCACAGGGCCUCGCAGGGCCUCACAAGGCACACACACUCUUCUGUACCUUGCUUCUUUCGCUGUGUCCCUGUCUUUGUUUCUUUGGUUUUUAGCGAGCUAUGUUAAUGAUCCCAAACUACUGGACUCCAAGAAAUGCCUGCCUUGUGUGAUAUUUUGCAUACUAAUCUGUAUGGGUAUCUGUGUGGUUAAAACCCUGUGGGGAAUCUAAAGAUCGUACCUUAACUAUAUACGACUGUCUGUGUUCUCAGUAUUGUAAUUACUCUCAAUCGUGUAAUAACUUAGCAAGAUUUUUGGUUGUUCCAUUUUAAGACAGGGUCUCAGGCUGGUCUCAAACUGUCAACGCCGCUGACCAUCAUCCUGUAUGCCAGGACUACAAGUGCACAUCAGGUGUGGCAAAUUACUAAUAUCUGCUAGUCUUUAGGUAGAAAAUAGUAUCCUUUCUUAGACUCAAACAUUACAUUUUUCUUCAUGUGAGACAGACUUUGCCUGGAAGUUCCCUGCUUUCUCCAGAAAACCUGGGAACACUACCCCCAAGCCAGCCACACUUUGGCCAUGGAUAUUCUGAUUAAAAAUGUAUUGUUUUCCUAUG